rnacentral:lncRNA from 1 species
GGGAAACAGCUUUAAGAUUUUUAUGAAUAAACUUAGGUUUGAAUUUAAAUUCAUUGUAAUCGGUGUAGUCUCUAGUGUUAUAUUUUGUUACCAUUGUCUUCCUUUGUUUAGAAAAAAUCUAUCUGGAACUUUCAAAAGUGAAUGGACACAUUCUACUGAUUGUAAAGUUCUGCCCAACACAAUUAUUUCUAAGCCAUUACAGACAUCUGGAGACCCCUCACACCUCUUUCUGAGUGAACUGCAGCGGACCCCACAUCAUAUAUUCUUGUUCAGUGUCGGGAAAAUAACGGCUACAGGCAGAAACCAGAUCUGAGGCUUUCAGACGAGUGCUCUGGCACUGAGGUAAAACAGAAGGCAUUGCAGAUUUCUGUUCCUGAUAACUACCGAGUACAUGCUGAAGAGAAACCAAACCUGAACUGCAAUAAUUGACCGGGGAAAUUCUCACUGGGAAGAUGCUACACUGACUAAUCUGUGAGCAAGAUUUAUAAAUGAAAGGCUCUAAAACUGCCUGAGGUUUACUAUAAAGAGUGAGGCAUUACUUUUUUUUCAAAGGAAACCAAUUUGCUGAGGGCUGCUUUGUGCAGUUGAAGGGGUGCUUCUUUUAGUAGCAUCACAAAUUAGAGCUGCCAUUGGAGAAAUAGAGGUGUAUUGAUAGCAAGCAGGUGGCUCUUGUUCCAAGGAGAUAUGUUUGGUACCAUUUUAUGAUUGAGCUGAUGCUGUGACAUAUUAAGUGGAGCUUGUCAUUCUCCCAUCUGGUCUACACAACUGCUGGAGGCGGAACCCAUUUAGGAAGUUGCACAUUUCUUGCAGAUGUUCCUGAAUGUUUCAUAAAUAACUAACAGAAACCACUGAUUCAUUUGGCUUUAUUAAACCUAUCUUAGGGGAAUCAUGUCAUUGUUCAUGGAGAAAAUUGUAUGUGUUGCUUGGCAUUUAAGAAACUUAUUAUCAAAUUACAGCACUUUAAAGCCUUACUUGGUGCUAAUGGGAAAAUUGUAAAGUACAGAUCAGGACUUCUUUCGGCCUGAUUAUAAUUUAUGUAAAUGACUGCACUUGAUAAAGAGUCCUUCAUGCUAAGUAAAAUGCUUUUUGCCUGUGGAACCCAGUGGUGGCUUGUUUUCGUUUCCCUGUGGAUGCAGUUUAUCCUUGGGUCUUAUCUGGAAGAAGCAGUUGUUGCAGAAUGCUGUGUUCACUUCAUACAUCAUUUAAACUGGUUUUGUUAUUGAUGAAUUGCUUUUGUAAUUCCGAGAUGAAAGUGAACAUUAUAAACAAGGCAUUCCCGUAUUAGCUUUUCUGUGCAUUGCCCAAUGGGCAAU